CUAACCUGUGUCAUCCAGAUGCCAGUUCAGUUCCUGGGCAUUCAAAAAUGAAGACGACUCCAUUCCUGCCUUCAGUUGUAAUAAGUGAAGGAGGAAUAAAGACGUCCCGUAAUUUCUCUUUCUCUUUUCAAGAAAUCUAUACUCACUUUUCUUUACCCAUCUUGGAUCCAGACAGCAAGUCUCACCCUGCCUAGUGUGGGUUUAUCAAGCAUCUAACGAGCCUGCUGGGGCAACUAUAAAAAGUGUAGUUCACUUGGAAUGUGCAAACUCACCUCCAGUGUAAAAGCCUUCAUCCCUGAAUAAAUUAUAUGGAACCUUUGCA